CUUGUACUCCCUCCGUCCGAAAAUACUUGUCAUUGAAAUGGAUGUAUCUAGAUGUAUUUUAGUUCUAGACACAUCCAUUUUGAUGACAAGUAAUUCUGGACGAAGGGAGUACUUG
rnacentral:pre_miRNA from 1 species